AACGAACGCUGACGGCAGGCUUAACACAUGCAAGUCGAACGCCCCGCAAGGGGAGUGGCAGACGGGUGAGUAACGCGUGGGAAUCUACCCAGAACUACGGAACAACUGAGGGAAACUUCAGCUAAUACCGUAUACGCCCUACGGGGGAAAGAUUUAUCGGUUUUGGAUGAGCCCGCGUUAGAUUAGCUAGUUGGUGAGGUAACGGCUCACCAAGGCGACGAUCUAUAGCUGGUCUGAGAGGAUGAUCAGCCACACUGGGACUGAGACACGGCCCAGACUCCUACGGGAGGCAGCAGUGGGGAAUAUUGGACAAUGGGCGCAAGCCUGAUCCAGCCAUGCCGCGUGAGUGAUGAAGGCCUUAGGGCUGUAAAGCUCUUUCAGUGGGGACGAUAAUGACGGUACCCACAGAAGAAGCCCCGGCUAACUUCGUGCCAGCCGCCGCCGUAA
rnacentral:rRNA from 1 species